AACGAACGCUGGCGGCAUGCCUAACACAUGCCAGUCGAACGAGACCUUCGGGUCUAGUGGCGCACGGGUGCGUAACGCGUGGGAAUCUGCCCUUGGGUUCGGGAUAACAGUUGGAAACGACUGCUAAUACCGGAUGAUGACUUCGGUCCAAAGAUUUAUCGCCCAGGGAUGAGCCCGCGUCGGAUUAGCUAGUUGGUGAGGUAAGAGCUCACCAAGGCGACGAUCCGUAGCUGGUCUGAGAGGAUGAUCAGCCACACUGGGACUGAGACACGGCCCAGACUCCUACGGGAGGCAGCAGUGGGGAAUAUUGGACAAUGGGCGAAAGCCUGAUCCAGCAAUGCCGCGUGAGUGAUGAAGGCCUUAGGGUUGUAAAGCUCUUUUACCCGGGAUGAUAAUGACAGUACCGGGAGAAUAAGCCCCGGCUAACUACGUG
rnacentral:rRNA from 1 species